UACGUAGGGUGCGAGCGUUGUCCGGAAUUAUUGGGCGUAAAGAGCUCGUAGGCGGUUUGUCGCGUCGGCCGUGGAAUCCUGCUGCUUAACGGCAGGCGUGCGGUCGAUACGGGCAGACUUGAGUUCGGCAGGGGAGACUGGAAUUCCUGGUGUAGCGGUGAAAUGCGCAGAUAUCAGGAGGAACACCGGUGGCGAAGGCGGGUCUCUGGGCCGAUACUGACGCUGAGGAGCGAAAGCGUGGGGAGCGAACAGG
rnacentral:rRNA from 1 species